rnacentral:rRNA from 1 species
AUUGAACGCUGGCGGCAUGCCUUACACAUGCAAGUCGAACGGCAGCACGGGAGCAAUCCUGGUGGCGAGUGGCGAACGGGUGAGUAAUGUAUCGGAACGUACCUUUCAGUGGGGGAUAACGUAGCAAAAGUUACGCUAAUACCGCAUAUUCUGUGAGCAGGAAAGCAGGGGAUCGCAAGACCUUGCGCUGAUUGAGCGGCCGAUAUCAGAUUAGCUAGUUGGUGAGGUAAAGGCUCACCAAGGCGACGAUCUGUAGCGGGUCUGAGAGGAUGAUCCGCCACACUGGAACUGAGACACGGUCCAGACUCCUACGGGAGGCAGCAGUGGGGAAUUUUGGACAAUGGGCGCAAGCCUGAUCCAGCCAUGCCGCGUGAGUGAAGAAGGCCUCGGUUGUAAG